CUACGGGUUGCUCCAGUGAGGAAUAUUGCACAAUGGGGGGAACCCUGAUGCAGCAACGCCGCGUGGAGGAUGACGCAUUUCGGUGUGUAAACUCCUUUUAUAUGUCAAGAAAAUGACGGUAGCAUAUGAAUAAGCACCGGCUAACUCCGUGCCAGCAGCCGCGGUAAUACGGAGUGUGCAAGCGUUACUCGGAAUCACUGGGCGUAAAGGACGCGUAGGCGGGUUGGAAAGUCAGGUGUGAAAUCCUACAGCUUAACUGUAGAGCUGCACUUGAAACUUCUAAUCUAGAGUAUGGGAGGGGGAGAUGGAAUUAGUGGUGUAGGGGUAAAAUCCGUAGAUAUCACUAGGAAUACCUAAAGCGAAGGCGAUCUCCUGGAACAUUACUGACGCUAAGGCGUGAAAGCGUGGGGAGCAAACAGGAUUAGAUACCCCGGUAGUC
rnacentral:rRNA from 1 species